AUUCUACUCCCUCCGUUGCACAAUACAUGCCUUCUAUUUGUCAAAAUAUAUAUGUAUCUAGACAUGUCUUAGUAUAUAGGUACAUCCAUUUUUGGACAAAUGGAAGUCAAGUAUUUUGGAACGGAGGGAGUACACN
rnacentral:pre_miRNA from 1 species